UACGUAGGUGGCAAGCGUUGUCCGGAUUUAUUGGGCGUAAAGAGCGUGUAGGCGGCCAGGUAGGUCCGUUGUGAAAACUCGAGGCUCAACCUCGAGAUGUCGGCGGAAACCAUCUGGCUAGAGUCCGGAAGAGGAGAGUGGAAUUCCUGGUGUAGCGGUGAAAUGCGCAGAGAUCGGGAGGAACACCCGUAGCGAAGGCGGCACUCUGGGCCGGUACUGACGCUGAGGAGCGAAAGCGUGGGGAGCAAACAGG
rnacentral:rRNA from 1 species